CAGUCUCUUUCUCCAGACCUGGAAGAAAUUGACCUAUGAUGAUGUGAAGACCCAAAGUCCAGACCAAGAGAAAAGUGUGAGCUUGGAGCUCUUUAUCAUACAGAGACUUGGUGUAGAUAAGAGGGGCAAUGGGUUUCCUGCUUUCCCUCAAACUGUCCUGCUUUGGUCUCUCAGUCUAAAUAUAUUCAUGACUCUAGAUGCUUUGAGCCCCUAGAAACUAUAGAGACAAAUGACAUCCACAAGCAGUUUUACCUUGGCCCAGUCACCGGAGCCUGACCUGUAUGGGCUGCAUCAAUGAAGUCCCCUGUGCAUUGCCUUCUGAAUGGACACAGCCAGUGGGAAACUGGAGAGACGGAAGGUUGGAGCAAGAAAGAAGAUAGUGCAUUUGUUCCCUGGUUUCCUCAGGCUGGCUUUUUCAUGCACGGAAGAUCAGCGCUCCUCUCAAAUUGGCCACCAGAGGUAGAUGCCAGGUAUUAAUGGGGCCUGGGACAGUGUGGAAAUGUGGGGCUGGGAUGUGUUCUUCUAGUUGACAUGGUUAUGGAAGAUCUUUCCAAGGAGGAGGGUUUUAAACAGGUCUGAAUGCUGUGAAGAAUGAGCCACGCAGGAAAAUAAAGAUGUGGGAGUAAAGCACUCCAGGCAGAGGGAACAGCCUAUGAAUGAUGUUAUAGACAAGACCCUUCACCCAUCACAGCUCCCUAUUCACAGCUGCUGGCAGGACAUCUGAUGAAUACCCUUCCAUCCUCCCACUCAGCAUCUUCCCAAGUAAAACGAUCAUCUUUUUAU
rnacentral:lncRNA from 10 species